UGUGGAAUCAGGUGUCGAACCUAGAACCCUCCGCGUCCGAGGCCGAUACCUUAUCACUAGGCCUCCGC